UGCCCCCAAGGGGACUAGAUUACAAGUACUCCUGGACACAGCUCUUUGAAGGCCUUUUCUGAAGCCUCCUCAGUGGCCUCUAGUGACUUGGUUUGCCUGCACAGUUCUGCUUAGAAUCCAAGAAUACUGCAUGAGACAACUUGGAAGCUGGGCUCUGGACAACAGGAUGUACUCCCUGAGCUCAGCCUGUUACUGUGGCAGCAGCUCCACGCCAUUCAAGUCCACCAGAUCUCUUGAUUGCAUCCUUCCUUCUUUGCUGGACUCAGUCUUCUGUCGCUUCACUCAUCACAACUCUGGAAGCAACAGGUUUUGUCCCACAUAACCAACAUAGACCAGGUCUGUCUGGGGAAGGAAGCCUAUGCCUGAAUCCUGCUCAACACUUGGACGGCAUCCAUGGGAGCUUUUGAUAGAGGUUAAGGAGGCUUUAAAUAUAGUAACAGCUGAUUGAAGAAAUGCUCCCCCAACCUUUUCUUCACCUACCAGAGCUUUAACAGAAAGACGUGAUAUUGGGUCUUGGACAUGAGACAUCCUCGGCCUUCAGGUGCCCACGUGGCCCUUGGGGAAUCCAUCCUGCUUCGUCUCCUUCAGCGUACACUCCUCGCUCAAGGACCCCGAGGGAGCAGAGAGGUCAUGAGAUGCUCCUAGACAAAGAGACCACUGUGCUCACCCUGCUGAGGGUCACCCCGGAGUUGCCCAUAGGUGGUGGGGGUUUGGGGUGCUGUGAGACUUGUGAUCUGCCCAGAUGCAGCCUAUUGCCUCACUGUGCCUGUCCCUGCUCGUCAUCAGCCCUGAAGCUACAGAAUGCUUGGGUAGCAAGGACCCAGAGCAGGAGGAGAUGCCAAUAGAGUGAAGGGGCUGUGUCAUCAGCUCUGCAUCACCAUGGGCUGACACCAGACCCUAGAAGGAGUACCAGGUAGGGGAACUGGGUCUGUGGGAUAGUACCCUCACAAGGGGUUCCUUCCUUUCCCUUCACCU
rnacentral:sRNA from 1 species